rnacentral:rRNA from 1 species
GAUGAACGCUGGCGGUAUGCUUAACACAUGCAAGUCGAACGGACUCUUCGGAGUUAGUGGCGGACGGGUGAGUAACGCGUGAGAGUCUGGCUUUGGGUUCGGGACAACCACUGGAAACGGUGGCUAAUACCGGAUGUGCCGAGAGGUAAAAGAGAAAUUGCCUGAAGAUGAGCUCGCGUCUGAUUAGCUAGUUGGUGAGGUAAAGGCUCACCAAGGCAGCGAUCAGUAGCUGGUCUGAGAGGAUGACCAGCCACACUGGGACUGAGACACGGCCCAGACUCCUACGGGAGGCAGCAGUGGGGAAUUUUCCGCAAUGGGCGAAAGCCUGACGGAGCAAUACCGCGUGAGGGAAGAAGGCUCUUGGGGUGUAAACCUCUUUGCUUAGGGAAGAACAAAAUGACGGUACCUAAGGAAUCGGCAUCGGCUAACUCCGUG